rnacentral:rRNA from 1 species
CAGUAGCCACGGUAAUACGGAGGGUGCAAGCGUUAUCCGGAUUUAUUGGGUUUAAAGGGUCCGUAGGCGGAUCUGUAAGUCAGUGGUGAAAUCUCACAGCUUAACUGUGAAACUGCCAUUGAUACUGCAGGUCUUGAGUAAAUUUGAAGUGGCUGGAAUAAGUAGUGUAGCGGUGAAAUGCAUAGAUAUUACUUAGAACACCAAUUGCGAAGGCAGGUCACUAAGAUUUAACUGACGCUGAUGGACGAAAGCGUGGGGAGCGAACAGGAUUAGAUACCCCUGUAGUCCCUGUCUCUUAUAU